GAUGAACGCUAGCUACAGGCUUAACACAUGCAAGUCGAGGGGUAGCAGGGUAGCAAUACCGCUGACGACCGGCGCACGGGUGAGUAACACGUAUCCAACCUUCCCAUAACUCGGGGAUAGCCUUUCGAAAGAAAGAUUAAUACCCGAUAGUACUUUUUCAAGGCAUCUUUUUUAAGUUAAAGAUUUAUUGGUUAUGGAUGGGGAUGCGUUCCAUUAGAUAGUUGGUGAGGUAACGGCUCACCAAGUCUUCGAUGGAUAGGGGUUCUGAGAGGAAGGUCCCCCACAUUGGUACUGAGACACGGACCAAACUCCUACGGGAGGCAGCAGUGAGGAAUAUUGGUCAAUGGGCGAGAGCCUGAACCAGCCAAGUAGCGUGAAGGAUGAAGGUCCUAUGGAUUGUAAACUUCUUUUAUAGUAGAAUAAAGUGAUCCACGUGUGGAUUUUUGUAUGUAUACUAUGAAUAAGGAUCGGCUAACUCCGUGCCAGCCGCCGCGGUAAUAC
rnacentral:rRNA from 1 species